CGGCUGGGACAGCACACUCACGACGUGGGAAGGUCACAGAAAUGUUGAAAGACAUCAGAUUGGGCAUACGCUUCACCCGUGCAACUUCGUCAUGUGCUCCACGGCAGCACAAGCCUUUACGGCUGUGCCACUAUGUGUGGAAACGUCGUAGCGGAUGAAUGUGAAUUAUGGAUCUCCAAGUGGCGUCGCCCGCGUCAUUUUCAAGAUUUUACCCGUUUUGAAGGCAAUAGGGCUGUUGAUAGGGAGAAUGCUAGGCUACUGCAGACUGCAACCAUAGGCGCUGUGUCUAAAGGUUAAGCUCACAUGACGCGGCAGGGAAGGGAGUCCGUGGCGAAAAGUGAAUAUAGCCGAAGUUGGAUAGCGUUAAUUUUUGCGCACGAAAGGCAAGCUGGACACAUCGCAAAUCUCCAGUUGUACGAAACACAGUGCAGCAUGGUCGUCGGUUAUGCCAGUGCUUCAACAUAUGUUUCAGCGUCGCACUUCGGACAUUGCGGGCAUAUACCUUUAAGUUUUUCCCCUUGUGGACCGAUGCUGUGUGUGUUCAUGGACAUCAUGUUUUCAAAGACAUGUAAGUUCUCAAUAAUAAUGCGAAAAAAAUGCUGGUCAUGUUACGCUGUGAUAUAAUACCUGGUGAGGUAAUACGAUGCUAUGACGCUCAGUUUCAUACGAA